rnacentral:rRNA from 1 species
CUCGCCAGGGGACUACAAGCAUAAGCUUAAAACCCAAAGGACUUGGCGGUGCUUUAGACCCACCUAGAGGAGCCUGUUCUAUAACCGAUAACCCCCGUUAAACCUCACCUUCUUUUGUUAUUUCCGCCUAUAUACCGCCGUCGUCAGCUUACCCUGUGAAGGUUACCCAGUUAGCAAAAUUGAGUUUAUCCAAAACGCCAGGUCGAGGUGUAGCAUAUGAGAAGGAAAGAGAUGGGCUACAUUUUCUAAUACAGAAAACACGAAAAUUACUAUGAAACAGUGUAUUUAAGGAGGAUUUAGCAGUAAGCAGGGAAUAGAGAGCCCU